ensembl:lncRNA
GGAGGUAGAGGUUUGUGACCAGCGGUUGCGGGAUUGGACACAUUUUGAGUUUAAAGGGGGACGGCUCUGAGUCAGCUGGGCAUCCAGUGUGAUUGCCGGCCCUGGGCCCUCAAUGGAAAGUUGUGGAGAGAAGCUGUGGUUGCCAGGCACCUCCUGAGGUGACUCUAUCAGAGCCAGUCAAGCCUGAAAUCAAUCACUCAAACCUAUCAAAGGCUGCCCUGCCCCGCCAUUGUGAACCAGCCAUCUGGGCCUCUGCAUACUGUUUGAGUUAGUUUCAGUGUGUGUGUGUGUGUGUAUCUGCAUGUGUAACUAAAUGAAUAGAGGGGGUUUAUGACAGUUACCACCACUGCACACAGGUUUUUGCCUCCAUGAAACAUUCACUUCACGCUUUCAUUCACGACACUUCUAGGACGGAUGGUGACAUAAUAGCUUGAGUCUAUAGUUGACGUGCAUUAGGAACCCCAGGAAUUGGCAUCAAGCACUGAGUCCAGCUCCCUAACCAGCUGCAAGGGGCGAUGGGACGGCCCAACGGGCAGCUCUCCCAGGCCAAGCUAACGAACUGUCCUGCUGCAGAACAUGCGGGAUGGGGCUAAGCGCACAGUGUCUGCCAUUGGAGGGCAGUAGAACACAGAGCAUCUAUCAGUAUGUCUGUCUUCGUUGUAGUCUCACACAUUGUGCUCUGACUAGGGGCCGCUCACAGCGGGGCCAAAGCCUGGAAGGACUGUGGAGAGGUCAGACCGGAGGAUUGGUUUGCUGUGGCUGUCGAAACUACGGCAUACCAUCGACGUUACUGUCUGUGGCUGACUUUAGACAUGUAGCUGUGGGUGCAGUGCGACAGAUGCCCCUGCCAGUUUUGGUGCCUGGGCCCCGUCAGCUGCCAGCAGGCCCCUAAUCCUUCCUAAUGGGGAUUGUCUUUUCACUGCUAAUUUAAACCCUCAAACCAUGGGACUGCCUCAACCUGAAGGAGUUCAAUCCCAGCAGCCCUCCACUACCCCAAAACCCCUCACCCCUUCACUGGGCCCAAGGUUCACUCAGGCCUGGGGCCCUUCAAUGCCUCUGCAACAACACCACCUUUCUGUCUUUCCACAUGCUGAUUGUAUUAAUCUUUUCUCCGUUUAAUUACAUUUUUCAGGACUCUUGCCGUCUGCCAUCUUUGCUCGCAGUGGGAGUCAUUGAGGGGCCCUCAUUUCACAUGCCAUCUCAUUUGGGUUCGAAAAUCCCUGACACAAGACACACAACCUCAUUGGAGAAGAGGGGAAAAAGUGAUUUAUUAAAAGCGUGAAGUUCAACAUAAAAUUUUGUUAAAUGUUUACAUGCAGAAAUUUUAGAAAUGGGAAUCGUUUAGAAAUUUUAGUUCCAUUUAAUGAUUCUCAUUCCUUAACAAUUCAAACUGUUAUUUUGGUACUUUUGAGAAAGUCUCUAACCCAAAAUAGUUUGGCAACAUACAUUUAUUUAUUAUAACUUACUAAUUUUCUGAAGUUAUUAUUAUUAUUAUUAUUAUUAUUAUUAUUAUUAUUAUUAUUAUUAUUAUAUUUAAAAUGUCAUCAUUCCUCAAUUAUUCAAACAUUAAUUUUAGUACUUUGUGUAGGAUGCCCCUAACUCAACUACAAUAUUUAUGUAUUUAUUUAUUUAUUUAAUUGUUUGUUUGUUUAUUUGUUUUAUUAAUUAUUUUUGGUGAUAUUUAUUUAAAUAUAUAUUUAGUUGGUUAUUUAGUUAGUUAUUCAAAACUCCUUUCUAAUUAAUAAUACUGUAUUCUGAAGUAUUUAUUAUUAUCAUUAUUAUCAUUAGUGUUAUUAUUCAUUGUACCGAUUAUGCUGCAUUUUAAAUAUUAAAUUACAAAUUCAAUUAAAAAAUUAUUAAACGUUAAAUCAUCAUCAACACACGCGCGCGCACACACACACGUUUACUAAAUCUAAAUGAGAACACUGCAUAGACCUCUUUUGUAUUUAUAUACAGCUAGUAAAAUUCUCUAACCUAACCGUAACCCACAAUCUAAUAAAACCUGACUGAUUCAAUAGACUGAUUUUUGA